GCAACUCUGGGGUGUUUGCCAGCGCGUCUAUAUCCCUGCCGAUACUUAAACUUACGGAUGUGUUCUGUAUAUUUAGAGCGUAUGCCCAUCUUCGUGUGGGAAACCCAGCAAGUAUACGUCGCGUCCCCCUUGAACUUCUUCGGGUUCAGGGUAACGACAUGCAGCGGCAUCUCCGGAGUGCU
rnacentral:other from 1 species